rnacentral:rRNA from 2 species
GGACUACUGGGGUAUCUAAUCCCUUUUGCUCCCCACGCUUUCGUGCCUGAGCGUCAGCAAUUGUCCAGGUAGCCGCCUUCGCCUCUGGUGUUCCUCACGAUAUCUACGCAUUUCACUGCUACACCGUGAAUUCCGCUACCCUCUCCAAUGCUCUAGCCAUGUAGUUUCAGGCGCAAUUCCGGAGUUAAGCUCCGGGCUUUCACACCUGACACACACGGCCGCCUGCGCACCCUUUACGCCCAGUGAAUCCGAAUAACGCUUGCAGUCUCUGUAUUACCGCGGCGGCUGGCAC